CCUGUCUGGUGGAUCACAACAGCACCUAGCUGCUAUCUCUUCCUCCGCCGCGGGGAAAAGUAGGUCAGUGUCGCAACACCCAAGGUUUACCUGCUGCUGGUGAAAUAUUGACACAGGGAUAAAGACGGGAACUCACUCAACAGGUAACCUGGUUACCACACCGCUCCGGGUUGUCAGGGCAACGCUGAAGGCUAUUGUACAUCAUGAGGCGCCUCAGGAGUCCUUUUGGACCAGACCACUGGGGGAGAAGCGGGGAACAAUCAGGGAUGAUUUUGGACUGAACCACUUUGGAAAUGAGGGAAGGUGGGUUAUCAUGAGGGACAAGAGCUCUGAUUCGCCGGUCUACUGAGCCACUGGUCUGAGC